UGAGUGCAGAAGAGAAGAGUGGAAUUUCCACGUGUAGCGGUGAAAUGCGUAGAGAUGUGGAGGAACACCAGUGGCGAAGGCGACUCUUUGGUCUGUAACUGACGCUGAGGCGCGAAAGCGUNGGGAGCAAACAGGAUUAGAUACCCUGGUAGUCCACGCCGUAAACGAUGAGUGCUAAGUGUUAGAGGGUUUCCGCCCUUUAGUGCUGCAGCAAACGCAUUAAGCACUCCGCCUGGGGAGUACGGCCGCAAGGCUGAAACUCAGAGGAAUUGACGGGGGCCCGCACAAGCGGUGGAGCAUGUGGUUUAAUUCGAAGCAACGCGAAGAACCUUACCAGGUCUUGACAUCUCCUGACAACACUAGAGAUAGGGCGUUCCCCUUCGGGGGACAGGAUGACAGGUGGUGCAUGGUUGUCG
rnacentral:rRNA from 2 species